GCUUUAAAUAUGUAGACGUUUCAGACUUUCAUCUAUUUCUUAAAGACGUGCUAAAGACGGAGUAUACAUAGACCUAUAACGUUCAAUACUUACCGUAUAGAAAUGGCGCGAAACGUAUUUUCGCAGAUAAUGGUAUUUGCGUGUCUGUGUCAUCUUGUUCAAUUAGGCAGUGCUCAGAUACUUAUUGCAGACGGAGGCACUAUCCUGUUUGCCCCCAUACCGCGGCCCGUCACAGAGAACACCAUAUUCGAUGCCGAAUUCAGACGCAUAAGUCUUUUCAAAUCUAGUGCUGUAACAGCUCUUGACUAUGAUCCCAUCGAUAGAAUGGUGUACUAUGUGGAUGUGACUUACAAGGUCGUCGAACGUAUCAACCUUAAUGGCAUGGCUCGGGAACAGAUCCAUUAUUCCUACAUCGUACCAAAUUCUGUCGCUGUUGACUCGGUGAGGAGGCGUGUCUACUACACAAUUUCCUUGGAUACCAAAGUUUACUAUAGGGAUUUGGGUAAUAUCACAGUCACUCACGAAUUACCGGGAACUACUCUCCCAACAUCUUCCACACAUGCAAAUAUCGCAGUUGACGGUUUAGCAAGCUAUCUUGUCUAUACAGCAAGCGGGUAUGAUCAACUGAUAUCAUAUCCUUUAGGUAGCCAACCUGGGAUAAGUAGAAGUUUGGUAUCCUCCCGUACAAGUGCGUUUACGAUUGAACAGUGCGUAACUACCGACGUUAAUUCAUCAGCCCGUGUGUAUUACUUCACCAACUCAAAGGAAUUGGGUUACGCGAAUACGUUCCAAACUUGGAAUCGGACCAUCCAACUAUUGCCAGAGACAGCUGUGGUUAGCCAAGGCAUGGCUAAAUAUGGAAACAAGCUCUUUUUCGGUGAUGUGGUUAGCUAUUCGAUUCCAAGGUUGAUCGAAUAUGACACAAAGGCCUCCUCUGCCAAGAUACAUUAUCCCGUGACCGUAAAGCUGGAUACUGGUGAUAAUUCAACUAUCACCCCGAGAACUAUUCGCAUUCUCAACAUUAAUUAUACAGAACCCGUUUCCAUCGAGGAUUGCCCGAUGAACAUCUAUGUACAAAUCAACAGUAGCUCCAUCGACGACACGCAACAGAUCUCCUGGACUGAACCUUCUUUGAACGCUUGGUCCAACUGUGCUACCUUGGAAUUUCUGGGACCAGGAACCAAUGGAGGCAAUUUCAGCAAGGGGGCUUACAACAUCUCCUACGAAGCCAGUGAUUUGAAUGGAAACACAGAUACUUGUACUUUCACGGUAACAAUCGAGGAGGUGCCCGACGAUGAACCUUCUACGGAGGCUUUGCCUAGCACUUCUCCAUCUAGACCUUCUGACGAUUCUUCCACGGAUACUUCUGGACCUUCUCCAUCUAGACCUUCUGACGAUUCUUCCACGGAUACUUCUGGACCUCCUGGUGGAGAUGGCAAUACACCGUGUUCGAACGAGAAUCCCCCUUCUGGAGAUGGCGCAAAAGUUUCGUGUAGUUUCAUUCAAUGGGUCUAUUUAAUUGCUCUUCUCGUAACCGUCUUCAAAUAGGCCUUACCUUUGCGGCCUACAGGAAAACGCAGUAGCUGACUUUUUUUUUUUUCAAUUUUCACUUUUUUUCAGAAAAGUAGUCAGGUAACCAUUCUUUUUUAUACACAACAAAAAAAGUAAGUCCCCCCUAAAUCAAAUUGCUGUAACUUUUGAACGGAGUUAUUUUGAGAUAUGAUAUUUCGUAGGUGGUUUUUUACACUCAUUAGGCAACUCCUGGGGAAAAAUGAGAUCGAUCGGUUGAGUCAUGCAUGAGUAAUUAAAGAUUGUAUUAAAAGUGACCAUUUUUGAAAGUCACAAGAGUCGUUUUUCAGAUUGUGCAAAUACAAAGUUGGGCAAAAGUUGUUUUUAGGUGAAUUUUAUGGUGUUAUGCUGUUUUACUAUCCAUCAUUUAUCCACUCCACACACAAUUUUUAUAUCGUAUGUUCAUGGUUGAGUGAGCACAAUAUCGCAGGGGCCGCGGAAGCGGGGGUGCGGGGGGCCCACUCUUUUCCAAAAUCAUGUACAAAAAUGUAAAAAUGACCAUAGAUUGUGAUUUUUUGCAUGGUCAGCCUUUUGGCUCAGCCCCUUCCCCACACUUCAAAAACCGUUCCACGGCCCCUGUAUUGUGACGUAUCAUCAUAGGUUUUUUUUGGUAGUAUCCUCUACAACUUGUUAGGUCAUAUUAAAAUUUGAAAAUGUUGGUGGCUCCCCCGAUUAUAGGCCCCUCCCCCAUUUUUAAAUUCUGGAUCCACCACUGAUUUGUCCAUAAAUUAAACUGAUCAUGAGAAAUUGUUAGGAAAAUAAUGCAUUUAUGCAGUAUAAAGAGUAUUCAUUCCUAAGUUCUCGAAUGUGCUCGCUCAACCAUGAAAAUGUUAAGUUCGGUAAGUGUGUGGUGACAGAAAUGAUGGAUGAUAAAAACAACAGCAAUUAAAGUCACAUUUGAAACCGAAUUUGCCCCCAAUAUUCACCUUAUUACCCUUAAAAUGAGUCUGUGACAUUGAAAAUACCAAUUUUCUCACUUUGAUGCGUGCUCACUCAUCCGUAAAUAAACAAAUCGAUUUCAUUUUUGCACAGAAUUAUGCCCAUAGGUUGAUAAACAUUACUGCCAAAUGACAUUGCUGUAGACAGCCUUGAAAAAAGGUUCCACCAUAUUGAAUAAGGGGUUACUAAUUCUUAAACAUAUGUACCCAUAAUGUACACAAGUCUAUUAGAGAGGAAGUCAAAAUUUAACAAAUAUGAAAUAAGGGGUUUGUUUCAUGGACGGUUUUUGUUACUUAUGCCAACAGUUAUUUCAUGAAACUUCGCACAUGGCUUCAGAGUAACACUAUCCAAAAGGCGCACAAACCAAAAUAACAAUUCGAUGCGGCACAGAGUGGGGCCAAGGCCUUGAACUUUCUUCUCAUUUGCAUAAUUUUCAAAUAUUGUGUGCUCACUGAUGCAUUAAACAUCGGGAUUUUCAUAAAGAUCAAAUCAAAUGAACCAUGCACGGAGGUUUGUGACAGAUAUCCAUAGUUACAAAUUGCUUUUUUUCCAAUAACGUAAAAAAGAGCUAAUCACAUUCCACAUGUUCAUUCAAGCGUGAAUGUUUAAUUAAACGCAUUUGAAUCAUUGGAGCAUGUUAAUUGGUCAUGAACAUAACGAAAAAAUUAUAAAAGAGCAGUUUCAGUUACCAAAAUGAAACAAUACUUGCCUAUGAUAUUUGAAAAUCGUAUUUUUUGUUUUCAAUAAAUGUUCAUUGAACCGUGAAACGAUGAAUAUUGUUGAAGAUACUCUUCCCAAAAAUAACUGUCAUCAUAUUCUAUCAUUUUUAUUUAUGAAAAUGUGUAAAAAAUCAAAUUAAAGCAAAUUUGGACUUGUGUUUAUUCAACCGUGAAAUUAAGCCCAAAAAAUUGUAUCGUCUUUUAGAAAGUACCUUUUACAAGCCUUUUGACUAUUUUUCAUGAUGAGAAUGUGGAAUCAGUUCCAAUAAAAUGGAAUCAAAGUCAUGAUUUUUGGCUUGUGACUUUUGAAAAGUGACAUUUUUGCCUUCUGACGGUGCUCACUGAAGCAUGACGUAAAAUACGUCCAUAACAUUUACUCAGAGGAGGGCGCCCUUUGUGUUCUAAGCUAUUAUCUUUCCCUUGACUUACACAUUGAUACAUUAUUUCAUGGUAAUGCAGCAAUAUAAUAGAGUGAUGAUGAAACUGUUCUUUCGGUUCGGCUUAUAUAUAUAUAUCUCUCUCUCUUUUGGGGGCUUGAAAUAGGAACAUACAGUACAUACUAUUCAAUUUCAUGAUAACAGAUUACUGAUUAACAAAAUUUGUUUUUGAGUGGCUUUGGAAAAAACAUAAAAUGCUGGAUAUAUCAACUCGUGCAAAAUGUAGAUACUGCAUUAUUUCCAUGGGGGGGGGGCAGUACAUAGGUCGAUUUGAUUGAUUGGUCAAUAGUUUGCUUUUGUUUUUUGCCAUUGUUAUAAAAAAUAAUGAUAAAUGCACAUACACUCAUGACUCUUAGUGGAUUUAACAUUGCAACACUCAUAUUUUCAUGAUCUUGAUGUCAGAUUGCUUGAUAUGCAGUGUUAAUAUAAAUUCAAACCUAUACGUAUGAAUGAAUGGCGGUAUGUAUUACACCCGCAUAAACAGAACAGGAGUGUUCAAAUGAUUUUGCAAUGUUCUCAAAGCUACGUCCUCCCGAUACCGCAUUAAAACGAAAGCUCCACAAUGAACGUCUGAAUGUCUUGAUAGGUGUCUUUAAAGCAGAUACGAGCCGAUAGCGCCAUCUCGAGUCCUCAAAUACUCAUACCUGGUCAGUUUCCUUUCCCAUAGACCCACUUGAAUGAUAACAUGCUAAUUAACUACUCAAUACAUUUAUACCACAAUUAUUAUGUUACCAAGUAGCAAAACAAUUACUUUUCCUCUCAAAGCAUUUUACUUUCCCUAUACAAAUGCAAUUCUAAGUCAAUUUAUACUCUGCAGUAUUAGUAGAUAUCUGAAAACGUAUGUUUUAAGACUAUGUAGGAGAGACCACACAGAGUUCACUUUCCCUUUAAAAGUUUUGACCAUUCUGGCGCCAAGUGACAAUGUUACUUUUUUUUUUUUUCUUGAAGGGUUUAAAUUUUUUUUUUUACAAUAUCAAUUUUAAAAUUGAACCUCUCGUUGGUUGAAACCAGAGAUGCUUAUAAUUUUGGGGUUGUUGUGGAUUGCAACUCUUUCAAGAGCCAGUAACGCAAAGCUUACCAAUCGUCGUUUUGAUUACGAUUGACUGCAUUGACUACAAUGUACGAUCAAUUAUUGUAAAACUCACGCGUACGAUUCAUUAAUCGCUAACCUAUGAGCUACAGGUCCCGGGCGAGCAAAAACCUCGCGAUACUCGGCAUAAUGUCUACUUAAUUCAGUGUACCAUGGUAAUACUAUAGCCAUUUCGUGGUCUGCUUUGGUCUUGUACUAUCCAUAUAAAUAUUUAAUAUAAUCAAAGUAUCAUAUAUAAUUAUUUCAAUAUCGAUUAAAACAACUUUUUUUUUUCUAUUCGAAUCGCAAUCAUUGCAAUGGUUUGAAAAUUUUAAGAUUACGUAUAAUUGGUUCAGACUAAAACGAGGGCGGUAGUAUUCUUUAUUAUUAUUUUGAUUAAUCGAUUGAAAGAGCUUGUUUUUCUUAGUUUACUACGAUAUAAGGAAUUACUAACAAACUACAGAUUACCUUUUAUGAUUUAAUUAGGAUGAGAUAAGUUAUAAAAGCCUUGCAAAAGCAAAUAUGUUGCCUACAUUCAGCCGAUCGGAUUUUUUAGUCAUUUGCUAGCCUUCGAAAAUUAUGACCGUUUUAUCGAGGAAAACAUUUAUUCUGGAAUAUUACAUUAUUGAAUUUAACAUGUCAAACAAUGUUCGAAGUUUUUAUGCUAACAAGAAUGAUGAGCAUUUUUUUAGCGAAGUACUUCCAAACAAAUCGUUGAUGAAUAUUUACCUUCGUUAAUUUGUGUAGCAAGUAAACAUGGCUAAAAGUAUUUUUUUUUUCAUCUAACCUUUUCUUUCUUUUUUUUGCGGGCAGCAUCCAGUCAAAAAGAACUUCUAACUUGUAUGUCAUGCAUUGUACCAAAUCCUUACGCUAAUUGAAUUAUUAAUUUAGUUGCUCAAACUAUUUUGCUUUAUAAGUUGAUUUUGCGUUCAAGCAAACUUUCUUCUUCUCGGCAAGUAUCGCUGACUCAUUCUGUUUGUUUUGGAGGCACUACAUUUGGGCUAUCUUUAUCAUGUUUAUGGUCUUUAUUUGAUUUAGAUUUUUUUUCAAACCAAUGUGUGUCGAAACUAUUAGCCAAUUAGAAAUGAAAUAAUUGAAAUAAAUAUUCUUGAUUGGGUAAGAAACCAAGAACCAUUUUGAUAGAACGUCAUUCAAAUAAUAUUUGAACAUAGUACAAUUUAUUUUUAUCCCCCAAUUUUUUCUCGCCUGCUUGCAGGUGCAGCGUUCCGACGGUGGCGGCGACGGCCGCGCAGUAAAAAAAAUGAAGUCCUAACCAAUUUUAAGUAUGAAAGGUCAUCAUCGACUGAGUUCAUCAAACUUGGAUAUAAUGAUAAUCACAUAUUCAUGAAAAUCCUGCCCGAGGUUAAUGUCACAUGACCAUUAUCAAAUGUUAUUGAGGAUCAUUGAACCUAGACCAUGUACGGGGAAUCAACAUUGAAAUCUUAACCUAGGUUAAGUUUUGAAAUGUAGUCAUACUUUUGAAAGUAUAUCGAUUUAGUUCAUGAAACUUGGACAUGGGAAUAAUGUUUUAUUACCACUGAACAUGGUGCCGAAUGUUCAGGUCACCUAAAAGUCAAGGGACAUGUAGGGUCAACGAAGUUUGACCAUGUCGGGGUAUUUGUUGGAUUGAUAUCAUAAAUUAUGGAUCUAGGUCAUGAAACUUGGAUAUACGCGUAAUCAACUAUCACUGAACCUCCUGUGUAAAUUCCAAGUCACAUGACUAAGGUCAUAUAGGACCAAUAAACUUUAGCUAUGUUAGAGGGUUUUGUUGGACUGCCUUAGUGCCUUAAUAACUUUAAAAGUUUAUGGUUUCGUGAAACGUGGACAUAAGGAUAAUCAAGUAUCACUGAUCGACUUGCACGAGCCUUGGGUCACAUAAUCACGGUCAAAGGUCAUUUAGGGUCAAUAAAAUAGUAUUUUUGUGAAUAAUUAUUCUAUAUUUCCUUUUUUUCAAAGCCAGCACUGCUGCUGUAUUGAAUCACUUAAUGAGGGCCAGACUGCCAGAGUCGUUCCCAUUGUUCUUCAAUACAGUAAGAGGCACGUCUGUAUGAACUCAGAUUUAAUUUCGGCAUAGUUGAGUAUUUGUAAUCUUAUAGAGAGGUAAAUAUUAUUCAAAUCUUUGUUUUCGAGGUAGGUGCUAGGUUUGGUUCAGAGUAUCGAGUUCUUAAAAUGUUACUUUUUCAUUGAUUUUAUUUUUUCUCGUAAAUAGAGAGAUAGUCUGCGUGGUGGCGUAUAUGAAUAAGUUCAUUGUUAUUUAAUAUAACAAACUGUUUAUCAUUUUCACUCAUUCAAUGUAUUUCUGUCACAUAAUUAUGAUGAUUUUGUAGGAAAGGGAUAUUGAAAAUAAUAAAUAUAUAGACCACAGAGAAAAUACUAAAACUGUAA